rnacentral:rRNA from 1 species
GGAAUAUUGCACAAUGGGGGGAACCCUGAUGCAGCGACGCCGCGUGAGUGAAGAAGUAUUUCGGUAUGUAAAGCUCUAUCAGCAGGGAAGAAAUAAAGUCCUUCGGACUUUGGACGGUACCUGACUAAGAAGCCCCGGCUAACUACGUGCCAGCAGCCGCGGUAAUACGUAGGGGGCAAGCGUUAUCCGGAUUUACUGGGUGUAAAGGGAGCGUAGACGGUGAAGCAAGUCUGAAGUGAAAGGCGGGGGCUCAACCCCCGGACUGCUUUGGAAACUGUUUGACUGGAGUGCAGGAGAGGUAAGUGGAAUUCCUAGUGUAGCGGUGAAAUGCGUAGAUAUUAGGAGGAACACCAGUGGCGAAGGCGGCUUACUGGACUGUAACUGACGUUGAGGCUCGAAAGCGUGGGGAGCAAA